rnacentral:rRNA from 3 species
CCUGGCGGCACUAGCGCGGUGGUCCCACCUGACCCCAUGCCGAACUCAGAAGUGAAACGCCGUAGCGCCGAUGGUAGUGUGGGGUCUCCCCAUGCGAGAGUAG